rnacentral:hammerhead_ribozyme from 1 species
GCACUGCCGAGGAGUCCCACAAUAGGACGAAACGGCUGUCCAGUAC